GCUGACGAGUCCCAUAUAGGACGAAACGAGCGUCC
rnacentral:hammerhead_ribozyme from 1 species